ensembl:lncRNA
AAAGGCGUUCGCGCCUCGUCAUUAGCUCCUCUUACCCCGGUCAUCCGAGUGGACUCACAGCGGAGACAAUGCAGGAUGUCCGCAUACAGCUGCCGGCUGUGCUGCGACCCGAGGGAUUGUGGACCUGAGGCCGGCUCGGUUUCCUCCCCGCACUGGUCUUCUGACUGAUUGCUGUCAUGUUCCUGCUGCAUGAAGGCUUGCAUCCAUGUACCGUACCAGGUAUUCAGGCACUCAGGAGUCAGCUGAGGUGGUUUGGGCAGCUAACAAAGAUUCCUGAUGGGCGCGGCUCUCCAGGCAGGACAUGCUGAAGGGUUCACAUCUCCCACUGUGAUGGCAGACUGAGUCUCACAAGCUUGUGUGGUCUCUGCUGCUCCCUGCAGGUCUCCAGUAGGCGCUGACUAGAGAAUUGUGGAAGCUUCCUGGAGUCGUGGCGUGAACAGUACCAGCAGCCUCUUGCAGUUGAUGGUGACGUGACAUCGAAGCUGCCACCACUUUGUUGCGUAGAGGUCAUUUGAAGUCAGUCUAUUAAUAAAUGCAAAUUAAAGACUCAGAACUCUUGUCUCUGUUCUAUAUGAAAUGUGUUAUUUCCCACGUAUUAAAUCACUCGAGAGCUUUCGGCACUGUCGUUAAGUGUUUUUCUUUCUUUUCUUAAGCAUCUGAAAAGUGGUGCCUUAAAGCCAACCAACGUUUCAAACGUGUUGGGUAAAGGUCAUGAGCAGCUGCUGUAGUGGCGCAGUGCCUCCUUUAGUGGGCAGUGUACCGAUUCUUGCAGGAGGACCACAGCAUGUCUGCAAUAAAGAGGACACAUCGAUGUAGCCUUUGCAGGCCAAUAAAGUUUUUAAAGGUUAUUUUUCAAACUAAAACAUUAAGUUGACUCCGGUUUCUAGUUGGUAUCUGAUGGGAUUGUAAAUACAACUGUUAAUUUAGUUUAAAAAGAAUGCCACCUCAAGGCCAGAGCUGCAGUCAUCAGUCUAAUGGAUCAACAAAAUAUCCCAACCCACUUGUUUUUGUCCUCACAGGAUGUGCUCUGCUUCAGGGAAUGUGAUUACCUGUAGUAUUACGGUGGGAGGUGCAGCUUUCUAAGCAUUGGCAUUGAGAGUUCAGUCUACAUUCAGAACGUGGUCGACUCGUGCCUGCUCACCCGGCAUCGCCUUGUUGGAACCAAAAGAUUUAUUUCACAAUAAAUCCAAAAAACGAUCCUGUUCAAACGCACAAGUAUGCCACCACGGAACUACCAGCACAUGGUGGUCCACCACCUAAACACCUCAAGGUCCGCGCCUUCAAUUUCAAGCUCUUCCUGGCUUCCCCCAGUCUUUAAUCCACCGUGGCUCCAAUCUCAUUGCUUCCAGGCUGGUUUCACCUGGUACUUCCAGUCAGGAUACAGGGGAGCAAUUAGGGGUUAGGUGUUUUGCUCAAGGACACUUGGGACAUGGAGCAGCUGGGACUCAAACCGCCAACCUUGUGGUUCCCAGCUCCCCCUCUACCCCAUGCGGCAGUCAAUUGGUAUCUGAAAGUAUCACUAGAUAUCAUUAACUUUUGACGAAUAAUGCAAUUAAUACUAAAAUGGUUAUUGGUACUUCUCUUAAAUUCUAAAGGUAAUUUAAUGUUAACAGCCAGUUGGAGCUGGAAAGGAAUCUCUUUGACGACUCCAGACAGCUGUCUUCUGCCAAAUUGGACUUCUGCACCUACCAGACACGGCUUAGAAGUUGCAAGGACUCCUCAAAGGAAGCCGCACCUAACCUGGACCACGUGUUGAACGAUCGACAAGCAUAAAGCUAUGCUAAUAUUUGCUAGAGCUAGAGGGACAAGCGAGUGUGAUUAAGGCUGGCUAACAUUAGCUUAGCGUUAGGUUUAUUUGAGCCUGGCAUACUAUGAACACCUUCAUUUGCGUUACGGUCAAAGCGGUUUCAUGCUACCCAAAGCUACCAAUGCUCCUUUCUGUUUAUACCCUGUUCCCCAGAUUAGUUUGUCUAUGUAGUUUAUAUGAAGAAACUCCAGACGAACAAAGGACAUCUUGGGUUGAAAAGUAAUAAACUAAUAAAGAAAAAGCGUGAACAUCCCAGCUGUGGAUCUGCCCAGACCAAAGUACUCAACUGUCUAUGUCUAAGCGACCAUCUCCAUGUAUAUAUAUAUAUAUAUAUAUAUAUACAUACACACAUACAGGUAUGUACACAGAUCAAAAAAAGGUAUGGUAGGCAUUGUCCACGCCCCUCGACACGUGACGUCUCCUGGUGCGUUCCAUGUACCAUGUUAUUUUGAGUCGAUUACUAAAUAUGGUGGUGCAACGUGGUAGUACACUGGAUGGUGCGUUCACUGUAACUUCGGAUUUUAAAGUGUCCGCUAAUGGACGUGGCAGUGCCAUCAAAUAUUACACAUAAUGCAUUUAUUAAUAAUAAGAUUUGUGAGCCAGGUUGUCAGUUCAUUUACAAUAUUCUA